ACCCGAUCCAGAGGAGUGCCACUGAGAACACAAGUGCGCAGGUGCAAAUGCAAUUGUGUUCUCAGGUCACCCCUUUGGGUUGCUU
rnacentral:pre_miRNA from 1 species